rnacentral:lncRNA from 1 species
AUUGGUUCAAUUAGCAUAAUUCUCCAUGUGCAUUGCAUAUAUAUUUUACUAUAGAAUUUAAAAGCUAACAACCACCAAGAUAGUGGCAAAAGGGAUUAUAUUGGUAGUUGGCAGAAGUCUCAAAGUAAUGUUGUUGGCUCCGUUUACAUUAAUAUUGUUCAGAUAUAUGAGAAACAUUAUUUAACACGUAAGAUAGAGUCUUUUGAAAAAAUAAAGG